UGACCGACACUUAAUGUAGUCUUAAACGGCCAAACGGACAGCCAGGUCAAAAGCCGA
rnacentral:sRNA from 12 species